AUACCGACCGCGAUGGUAAAAAGCGCGGCCGUGUAGUUUGAUCGGGGCCGAAAUUUACGUGGAGCGAAUCUUAGUUCGAGUUGGGGUACAUACUUGACUAGCGAGUAUGCCUAGUCUGUGCCUUGAUUCGUCAGAGGCCGGGUUUUGCUGAGUUCUAUGAUGAAGGUGUUUGUCCUGAGUCCUAGUUCAACUGUGGCUGUGAUUGUUAGACUCGGGGACGAAGGCGUCUAUCCUUACAGUUCGAGCGGGGUCAAACUUCUUAGAUUUAAUGGCAAUGGCGAGUAUCUUGACUCCCACUUCAACUGUUGUUGAACUUUGUCGAUUUUGAUGGCGAAGGCGCAUAUCCUGAGUCUUAGUUCAACCGUAGCCGAAUUUGCUGGCGAAGGCGCAUAGCCUUGAUUUAACCGUGAAGGUGCGUAGCCUGAGUCCUAGUUCAACUGUUGUUGAACUUUGUUGAUUUUGAUGGAGAAGGUGCAUAGCCCGAGUCCCAGUUCAACCGUAGUUGACCUUUGUCGAUUCUGAUGGCGAAUGCGCAUAGCCUGAAUCCCAGUUCAGCUGUUGUUGAACUUUGUCGAUUUUGAUGGCGAAUGCGCAUAGCCUAAGUCUUGGUUCAGCCAUAGUUGAACUUACUGGCGAAGUCACAUAGCCCUGAUUUAACGGCGAAGGCGCAUAGCAUGAGUCCCAGUUCAACCGUAGUUGAAUUUGCUGGCAAAGACACAUAGCCUUGAUUUAAUGGCGAAGGCACGUAGCCUGAGUCCCAAGUCAACUGUUGUUGAAAUUUGUCGAUUUUGAUGGCGAAGGAAUGAAGCCUGAGUCUUGGUUCAGCUGUAGUU
rnacentral:lncRNA from 1 species